AACAGUCACCGUGUCUUUCCCAUUCAAAAUUACUUAUGCUGAAAAAAUCAUUGCUUUCGCCUCUCACCUUAUAAUGGCUUAUAAUUGACUCUUCUAAUUUCUUUAACAAUUUCUUUGCUUUUCUUCUGCAAGGAGUAAAUUUCCAGGAAAAAUUAGAAAAUAAAGAAUUCAAAAUUCUAUCUCUUUCCAAAUUCACCAAAGAAAUCCAUGAACAUCUAACAACCUGGCUUUAGAUCCGCACAAUCACCGUCUUUUUCCUCUCGCCGUCACCAUCGAUACGCUGGCCACCGUGACUACCUCCCUCGUCACUGUACCGCUACGAAAACCCAACACAAUCAUCACUUUCUCAACCCCACUUCUAAACGAAGGCUGCAACAACAACCAACAACAAUAAACGAAGAAGAAGAACCCACAACAACAACAAAUCUAUGUCAAUAAAAUCUGAUGUUAUUCUUUGUACUAAAUUGAUCAAGUUUUUUUUUUUUUUAAUUUGAUUAAGGGGUUAUUCUUUGUACUAAAUGAAAUAUGAUGUUAUUCUUUCUACGCCAAUAACAAAUCUACCUUUGCCGUUUUCAAAUAGCUCUUAGCCAAAGCUACCUCACAUAUACACAUA
rnacentral:lncRNA from 1 species